rnacentral:lncRNA from 1 species
GGGAUGGAUGGAAAGUCAGUUUUGUACCAGUGCCUGCGAAGUUAGCUAGAAUUGUAGGUAAGUGCUGAACUGUAAAACUAAUGUUACAACUUAUUUGUUGCCAUUUGGCCUUGGCUUGUAUUGAAAUGCGAAGCCUUGCACAGAAAUGGAAAGGUUCUUCUUGCACAGAAAUGCAAGGUUUUUCUUGCACAGAAAUGCAAGGUUCGAGUUGCUUGCGUUCAUUAUUGGGAUUAGCAAACCUUUUCUCUAAUGUUUGAGAUCCAAAGUCUUGAUUUUGUAGAAACACAAUUUGUCCUUUGGAGCUGAUCUCGAUUGCACGGAAACCUAAUGGAACUGCUUUUGUUGCUUUGGCUAAUAACUCUCGAGGUUAGGGAAAGUGAAUUUUCAU